rnacentral:rRNA from 1 species
UACGAAGGGGGCUAGCGUUGCUCGGAAUCACUGGGCGUAAAGCGCACGUAGGCGGAUCGUUAAGUCGGAGGUGAAAUCCUGGAGCUCAACUCCAGAACUGCCUUCGAUACUGGCGAUCUUGGAGUCCGGGAGAGGUGAGUGGAACUCCGAGUGUAGAGGUGAAAUUCGUAGAUAUUCGGAAGAACACCAGUGGCGAAGGCGGCUCACUGGCCCGGUACUGACGCUGAGGUGCGAAAGCGUGGGGAGCGAACAGG